AACUGUAUUUUUUGUUCCCUUCUACCCCUUGCUGUGACCCAUGUGUCCCUCUGUCUCUUGGAGCUGCGCCGAAAUCUUUUUGAACAGAAACAGUCUGGAAGAUGGCCUGGAAGACCUCCAUCUCCGUCUGCACUAUGGACUUCAAUUUCGCUGCCUAGCAAUCAACAUCAAGAUGGGAUUGUACUGCUACAGGUUGAUUAAUCUAUUAUCCUGAUGAUGCAUGGAUGCUGUGGCUCUGUUUUCCUGAGGUCGAGCCAGUAGUGAGGCUGAGCACAUACUCCUCAGGCAUAUAUGGAAACACACAAGCACAUACAGUCAGAAUACUCAAGCACGCUGCUGGCCACAGAGAUCAACACGCACCGGAAGUACCUCACCCCAUAUAAUGUGCCUUGAAAAGUUAGCUAAUGAUCCUAUGAAGCUAUCAGAAAUAGCAUGACAAUUAAAAACUAAGCAUCCAGAACAGGAAGACAAACCUCUACAAUUUUUUUCAAUGAUGUUUCAAGCUAUGUGAUAUUCAAUCCAGUACUUUACAGAAUUUCACUGAACUUAAUGAUAAAUGUUUAGAAGCCUUCUUUGAGGUUUCUUACUUCAUAGCAAAAGACAAAAAGCCACAUACCACUGGGGAAACACUUGUUCUUCCUGCCAUGGUAAAAACGGCUGCAGUGAUACGCAGAAAGCAAUACGGCGGCAAACAAAUGUAUUCCUUUGUCAGCAAGCACUGUUGGGAGAUGCAUAGAAAACAUUGCUGAAGAUUUGAAGAAACAAGUAUCAGUACAAAUUACACAGCGUGAGAGGCUUGCUAUGCAGCUUAUGGUAUUUGCUAGAUUCUGUUUUGAUAGUGAAAUGCAUGAAGAACUACUUUCUGUGAGCCACUAAAGGAAAGACCUACCAGAAAAGCUACAUUCUCAACAGUAAAUUACUUCUUUAAUAAUAAUGUUUUAUGGAAAAGCUGUGCAAGUGUAAUGACUGCUGGAGCAGCUGCUUUGGCAUAAGAAAAGGAUUGCGUGGUAAGGUUACAUAGACAGCACCACACCUGAAAUUCAUUCCCUGCGCUGUUCUUAGGCAAGCUAUUGCAGCAAAGAAAUGGGAGCCAGACAUGCACAAAGUACUACAGGAUGUCAUCGAUGUGGUUAAUUUUGUAAAAACAAGACUUUGGCACAGCAGAAUCUUUACAGUACUUCCUAAUGAGAUGGGGAGUGACCAUGAAAAUCCUUUGUACCAUACAGACAUUUGCUGGUUAUCUCAUGGCAAUGGGCUUUUAAAAGACUUGUUGAAUUUAAAGACCAGUUACACGUUUUUCUUUUACAAAAAAGAAGUGUUCUGAAUUUGCUGAUCUUUUCUGUGAUGACACGCAUCUGUCAGUAGCAUGCUACCUAGCAGUUAUUUUUUAAAAAAUAAACACAUUUAAUGCA